rnacentral:tRNA from 1 species
UCCCUGGUAGCUCAGAUGGUAAAGAAUCUGCCUGCAAUGCAGGAGACCCAGGUUCAAUUUCUGGGUCAGGAAG